GAGUUUGAUCGUGGCUCAGAUUGAACGCUGGCGGCAUGCCUUACACAUGCAAGUCGAACGGCAGCACGGGAGCUUGCUCCUGGUGGCGAGUGGCGAACGGGUGAAUAAUGCAUCGGAACGUAUCCUGGAGUGGGGGAUAACGUAGCGAAAGUUACGCUAAUACCGCAUAUUCUGUGAGCAGGAAAGCGGGGGACCUUCGGGCCUCGCGCUCUUGGAGCGGCCGAUGUCGGAUUAGCUAGUUGGUGAGGUAAAGGCUCACCAAGGCGACGAUCCGUAGCAGGUCUGAGAGGAUGAUCUGCCACACUGGAACUGAGACACGGUCCAGACUCCUACGGGAGGCAGCAGUGGGAAUUUGGACAAUGGGGGCAACCCUGAUCCAGCCAUGCCGCGUGAGUGAAGAAGGCCUCGGU
rnacentral:rRNA from 1 species